GGGUUGUGAGGUUAAGCGACUAAGCGUACACGGUGGAUGCCCUGGCAGUCAGAGGCGAUGAAGGGCGUGCUAAUCUGCGAUAAGCGCCGGUAAGGUGAUAUGAACCGUUAUAACCGGCGAUACCCGAAUGGGGAAACCCAGUGUGAUUCGUCACACUAUCAUUAACUGAAUCCAUAGGUUAAUGAGGCGAACCGGGGGAACUGAAACAUCUAAGUACCCCGAGGAAAAGAAAUCAACCGAGAUUCCCCCAGUAGCGGCGAGCGAACGGGGAGGAGCCCAGAGCCUGAAUCAGCAUGUGUGUUAGUGGAAGCGUCUGGAAAGGCGCGCGAUACAGGGUGACAGCCCCGUACACAAAAGCGCAUGUGCUGUGAGCUCGAUGAGUAGGGCGGGACACGUGGUAUCCUGUCUGAAUAUGGGGGGACCAUCCUCCAAGGCUAAAUACUCCUGACUGACCGAUAGUGAACCAGUACCGUGAGGGAAAGGCGAAAAGAACCCCGGCGAGGGGAGUGAAAAAGAACCUGAAACCGUGUACGUACAAGCAGUGGGAGCCCCACCACUAAGCCAGUGGUGAACUCCACAUACGCAUCCUUUGCUGAGGAUACGGUUAACGGAGCGAAAGCGACGUUCAACCUCAAAAGAAGCAGAGGGGGCUUAGUGGUGGGGUGACUGCGUACCUUUUGUAUAAUGGGUCAGCGACUUAUAUUCUGUAGCAAGGUUAACCGAAUAGGGGAGCCGGAGGGAAACCGAGUCUUAACCGGGCGUUAAGUUG
rnacentral:rRNA from 1 species